rnacentral:rRNA from 1 species
AAUCUUCCGCAAUGGACGAAAGUCUGACGGAGCAACGCCGCGUGAGUGCUGAAGGGUNNNGGCUCNUNAAACUCUGUUGUUAANGANNAACACUUGAGGUAGUCACUGGCCUUGAGAUGACGGUACUUAACCAGAAAGUCACGGAUAACUACGUGCCCGCAGCCGCGGUAAUACGUAGGUGGCAAGCGUUAUCCGGAAUUAUUGGGCGUAAAGCGCGCGUAGGCCGUAAAAUAAGUCUGAUGUGAAAGCCCCCGGCUCAACCGGGGAGGGUCAUUGGAAACUGUUUUACUUGAGUACAGAAGAGGAGAGUGGAAUUCCAUGUGUAGCGGUGAAAUGCGCAGAGAUAUGGAGGAACACCAGUGGCGAAGGCGGCUCUCUGGUCUGUUACUGACGCUGAGGUGCGAAAGCGUGGGGAUCAAAC